rnacentral:lncRNA from 1 species
AGUUGGAAGAUCUUCCGCUCCUGAGGACUUCGGACCUGUGACUUGGGCUUUUGGACCUACUUCUCCACCUGCACUAACCUCGGUGUCGGUCUCGGCCACCAUCCCAUUCCUGGCAUCCCACUUUCCGACGCGCUUCCCUAUCACCUGGGUCUGCAGCCUCCCAAGUCUCUUAUCUCAACUUGAGUUCUGGCUAAUUGAGGACAGAGUUGGACAUCUCCAAAUCCGCACCAACGUUGAAAUCACGUCCACGGUGAAGUUUGCAUUCCAUGAUGACCUGACAAUCAGAGCAAGAAGUAGCAUUUUACUGAAAUGUAGGGAACAACACCUGCUAUUUAUGAAAGUGACUUCGGAUAGUCCCGGAAGGGACAUUUUUAAAGGCUAGGGGCUGAAGAAUGAGAGUAGUUCUAACUCCUUUGUUGGAAGUUUUUAUUGAGCGCUUACUAUUUAUUUGGAGGGCUAAAGCGACUUCCGAAUGAGUUUUCCACUUGAACUUCUCCAGAACUCUUCUCACAAGAGUGCUACAGCGGAGUCUUUCCAGUGAUAAAUAUAACAUGACUUCUGAUGUCGUCGACUUGAUGAAGACAGAGUUGAUAGUGAAGUUCUUCAUGUGAGACCUCUAGAAAUUGCACACUAAGAAAAAGAAACUGGUGCAAAUAAAGGAAAUCCGUUUCAAGAACCAAAAGAAGAAAAAAACGUUAAAAAAAAUUAACUGCGGAAACAGGAAACACUCAACUGUGUAAACAUUUUCGAAGACUUUCAUAAUCAAAACUGGGCGAUCUUGAGAUUUGCAGGGAGAUCGGCUGGCUCAAGGUCUUCGCGGU